rnacentral:rRNA from 1 species
UUAGAGUUUGAUCCUGGCUCAGGACGAACCCUUGCGGCGUGCCUAACACAUGCAAGUCGAGCGGAGGUAUAUACGAAGAAGUUUUCGGACGGAAUUGUAUAUACUUUAGCGGCGGACGGGUGAGUAACGCGUGAGCAACCUGCCUUUCACAGGGGGAUAAGGCGGCGAAAGCCGCUCUAAUACCGCAUGAGACCACGGUGAUGAUAUUACAGGGGUCAAAGGAGCACUCCGGUGAAAGAUGGGCUCGCGUCCGAUUAGGUAGUUGGUGGGGUAAUGGCCCACCAAGCCCGUGAUCGGCAGCCGGCCUGAGAGGGUGAACGGCCACAUUGGAACUGAGACACGGUCCAAACUCCUACGGGAGGCAGCAGUGGGGAAUAUUGGGCAAUGGGGGGAACCCUGACCCAGCAACGCCGCGUGAGGGAAGAAGGUUUUCGGAUUGUAAACCUCUGUUCUUGGGGAAGAGUGAAAGACGGUACCCAAGGAGGAAGCCCCGGCUAACUACGUGCCAGCAGCCGCGGUAAUACGUAGGGGGCGAGCGUUGUCCGGAAUGAUUGGGCGUAAAGGGCGCGUAGGCGGCUUUGCAAGUCAGUAGUGGAAGUCCAUUUUUCAAGGAUGGAAGUGCUACAGAAGCUGCGGAGCUUGAGUGCAGGAGAGGUUAUCGGAAUUCCCGGUGUAGCGGUGAAAUGCGUAGAGAUCGGGAGGAACACCAGUGGCGAAGGCGGGUAACUGGACUGCAACUGACGCUGAGGCGCGAAAGUGUGGGGAGCAAACAGAAGUAGCUACCCUGGCAGUCCACACUGUAAACGAUGAAUGCUAGGUGUAGGAGGUAUCGACCCCUUCUGUGCCGCAGUAAACACAGUAAGCAUUCCGCCUGGGGAGUACGGUCGCAAGAUUAAAACUCAAAGGAAUUGACGGGGGCCCGCACAAGCAGCGGAGCAUGUGGUUUAAUUCGAAGCAACGCGAAGAACCUUACCCGGGCUCGAACGGUGCAUGAAUAUACGAGAGAUUGUAUAGUCCUUCGGGACAUGUAUCGAGGUGCUGCAUGGUUGUCGUCAGCUCGUGCCGUGAGGUGUCGGCUUAAGUGCCAUAACGAGCGCAACCCUUGUCAUUAGUUGCCAUCAGGUCAAGCUGGGGACUUUAAUGAGACUGCCACCGUAAGGUGUGAGGAAGGGGGGGAUGACGUCAAAUCAGCACGGCCCUUAUGUCCGGGGCGACACACGUGUUACAAUGGGAGGUACAGAGGGCAGCUAUCCGGUGACGGAAUGCUAAUCUCCAAAACCUUUCUCAGUUCGGAUUGGAGUCUGCAACUCGACUCCAUGAAGGUGGAUUCGCUAGUAAUCGCGCAUCAGCCAUGGCGCGGUGAAUACGUUCCCGGGCCUUGCACAAAGCGCCCGUCA